UUCUGUUGGCCGACGCUCUUCUCCUCAUGUGCAGCAUGACACCAAACCCGGCGCAGUAAUUGCAGUAAUGUACUUUUUAUUUAUCUAUUCAUCCAUUAGGGUUGCUGUGGCAACACGGCAAGCUCAAAAGCCCCAGCGCCCCGUUUCCAAAGGAAGGUCCUCUGCUCCAGCAACGGGCAGCGACUGUGAGAUGAUGGUGGCUACCAGCCAGGUCCGUCCACCUCCUCCACGUCCUCGUCUCUUCCUGUUCCACACCUCUGCAGGCCAACCGCUGAGGAGCAUCCUUUACGUGACAGCAGGGGAGAUCGGAGGUGUAGAGCACAAGUCACACAGAUGGUCACGUGUGUGUACAUGUUGGAGUACAUAUUCACUUUGUGUAGACGGAUCCUCGAAGGAGCGCAGCUGAGAGUCGAGGGAGACGGGAGAUGACAGCGGUGAAGGUGACCUGUCUGCCACAGUCGGUCCGCCCUCACAUCAGCAUCUAAUGCGCCGCACUGGAAGGAAUUCAGCGGGAAUUAUAGUUCCGCCGGACGCUAUUUGCUGUUAUAAUUACAGAGAGAGUCAUUGAGGAGGAUUAAGCCACAGGUCAUCUCAUAUCUGACUGCCAAUUGUCCCUUUUCAAGUAAUCAGGGCCGCAGGACUUUUAGUGCAUCCGCGGGGUUGUCGGAACGAUCGGGGAAAUGAGCUCUCCACCGGGAGAAUUCACGCGAACGCCACCUCGGGUCGGAGCAACAACUCAGGCAGUCGCCAGAGGGUUCGGUGCACGAGUUGCAGAUGUCAUGCACAGAAACAUAAGCAGAGGAACCAGAGUGUUUGGUUGAUGCGUCAAAACUUUUGAAUAAUGGUGUCAAUUAACGUGUUGCAUGUAACUUUUUUUUUCGAAAGUGGUAGUUGUCCCUGUAGAGUGUCCUGGAUUAAUUAGAAAAAUGUAUAUUUAUUAAAACUGAUAUGCCUGUCACGCCUGGCCCCUUUUUCUUUGCUCUUCGUUAUCAUGCAGAUAUGGAAAGUGGUGUUGAGCUGUUGUUCAAACACUCUAAACACGCGACACAUUUUUGUUCACAGCGUCCUUGAUUUUCUCUCAUAAUGAAACCGCUUGCUGUGGAAAAAGAAAAGAAGGCAUAUAAGGUCUUUUUAAAUGAAUGGUCCAACAAGCCUGGUGAGGAUUGUUCGCUCACACAGUGCGAGCAGAGGAAAUGGAUCUUACAUUAAGCAGCUCUGCUGAAAUCAGCGAGCUCGGAAAAAGUACGCAUUGGGCGCUGCCUCAUCUCGUAAAGGUGUCUUGCUUUUGCCAGGUUUUCUUUCUUUUCUUUUUCUUUUACGUCUAAAAGAA
rnacentral:lncRNA from 1 species